rfam:Salmo salar isolate Sally breed double haploid chromosome ssa14, whole genome shotgun sequence.
AUUUUUAUGAAAUGUAUGCCGCUCUGGAUAAGAGCGUCUGCUAAAUGACUAAAA